CAGCCGUAAACUAUGCGCGUUAGGUGUAUCGGUGACCACGAGUUACCGAGGUGCCGAAGGGAAACCGUGAAACGUGCCGCCUGGGAAGUACGGUCGCAAGGCUGAAACUUAAAGGAAUCGGCGGGGGAGCACCACAACAGGUGGAGCCUGCGGUUUAAUUGGACUCAACGCCGGGAAGCUCACCGGAUAGGACAGCAGAAUGAUUGCCGGGCUGAAGACCCUGCAUGACUAGCUGAGAGGUGGUGCAUGGCCGUCAGUGACU
rnacentral:rRNA from 1 species